rnacentral:pre_miRNA from 1 species
UCUACAGUGCACGUGUCUCCAGCGUGGCUCGGAGGCUGGAGACGCGGCCCUGUUGGAGU